rnacentral:misc_RNA from 1 species
UUUCCGUAGGUGAACCUGCGGAAGGAUCAUUAAAAAUAUCACACGUUUUAUGGUGUGAUUUAAUAAUCAUCCUACCCUUUGUGAAUUUGUUUUGUUUUGAAAAUUUAUGUGGUCUAUCCUGAUGGUUUUUGGAAAAGUUGAAAAACUUUUUCAAAUCUCAGGACUAGCUUUCAUAGACCUUUUUUUAAAUUAAACUUUUUGUAUUCAUUUGUCUAAAUUUAUUUUUAAUAAUUUAAAAACAACUUUUGACAAUGGAUCUCUUGGUUCUCGCAACGAUGAAGAACGCAGCAAAAUGCGAUAAGUAAUGUGAAUUGCAGAAUACGUGAAUCAUCAAUCUUCGAACGCAUAUUGCACUUUUUUAGUUUACUAAAAAAGUAUGUCUGUUUGAGUAUCAGUAAAAUAUUCUCAUAAAAAAUAUUUUUGUUUUUUAUGGUUAUGAGUGUUUUACAACGAUAACAAGUUGUUUCACUUUAAAUUGAUUUUUUAAAAUAAGCCAAUUUGGUUUUAUUUCUAAAAUUGGAUAAAAUUUUCCCGUAAAAAGGAAUAAACUUUUCAGUUUUAAAAUAAAUCUUAAAUUGGACUUUGAUAAAAAGGAAAUUUAUUUAAAUAACUUGAUCUCAAAUCAGAUAAGAGUACCGCUGAACUUAAGCAUAUCAAUAAGCGGAGGAAAAGAAACUAACAAGGAUUCCUUAGUAACGGCGAGUGAAGCGGGAAGAGCUCAAAUUUGAAAUCUUCAAGUUCUACCUUGACGAAUUGUAGUUUAUAGAAGUGUUUUCUGUUAGUAGAGUGGCAAAAGUUCUUUGGAAUAGGACAUCAUAGAGGGUGAGAAUCCGUAUUUGGUCAUUCUUUCUAGCUUUGUGAUACACUUUCAACGAGUCGGAUUGUUUGGAAUGCAGUCCAAAAUGGUGGUAAAUUUCAUCUAAAGCUAAAUAUUGGCGAGAGACCGAUAGCGAACAAGUACGUGAGGGAAAGAUGAAAAGAACUUUGAAAAGAGAGUUAAACAGUACGUGAAAUUGUCAAAAGGGAAGCGUUUGACACCAGUGUUGUUUUUCCGAAAAUCAAUUACGAAUGUUUGUUUUUGAGAAGUUAUGACUUCAUCGGCUUGCUCUUUCUUUAUGAAACUUUCUUAAUGCACUUUUCGGUUAACAAGUCAACAUCAAUUUCUUUUGUUGUAAAAGGUAGAGGAAGGUGGCUUCCUUCGAGUAAGUGUUUAUAGCUUUACCUCUGCAAUCGGAGAGAUUGAGUCUGCAGCGUAGAUCUUCGGGUUAGAUACAUUUGUGCUAAGUUAUAGCUUGUCAUAGACAACUUGUUGACUAUGUUAGUCUUGUAGCUUACUCGCUUAUGCUAUUU